rnacentral:lncRNA from 1 species
CAUCACCAAAACACAAAUUUGUCAUGAAUCCAUCUGCAUCCUUUGUUUAAUAUUCACAUAGACCAAGGUGAGCGACACAGGCUCUUUAGAGCCUCUAGUUUUUGCAUGUGUCUGUUCCAAGUUUGGAGCCUGUAAUACAGUGGUUGUCAUUUUAUGCUGUAUAUUAUUUAUGUUUUUCGUUAAUUGUUUUGAACUUAAAUCUAACUGUUAGUUUUUAUUGAUUGAAUUGUUUUACAUUUGUUGUUUAGGUACAUAAUUUACUAUACAGUAUGGGUUUUGCUCAUUAAUUGAAGGUUGUACAGGAACCUAUAGAUUCAAUUAUUAAAUCAAUUUUUUAUCUGUUGUGAAAAGAUGUCUCAAUGGCAAUCAUACUACAUCUUCAUGUUUAUGUUUCUCAUGCAAUGCAUUGCAGGGGCACAUAACAUACUGAACAUCUGUCUGUCUGUAAGUCUGUUUGUCUCUCAGGUCUUGCAAGUGUUCUCACAUGUUAAAUUUGUGCAGAUUUUUAUGAACAUAUAUCAUAGGUUUAUAUAAGCAAUGUAUUGUAUGAGUUUGUAAAUCAGUGCUGAUCAAGUAUUUAAAAAGAGUUUUGACUUUUGGACAAUGAUGGAAAAUUACAUCUUAGUGCUCUCAUGUGUACAAUUCUUGCCAGAUUUUAAUGAACCUUAUUUUGUUGUUUUAUAUUAGCAAUAUCUUGUGUGAAAUAGAAAAAUCUUUACUGAUCCUCUAUUUUGAAAUCAGUUUCGGUCCUUGGAACUAUUUAUUAUAUAGACAAUUGCCUUGUGAGCUCUGCAGUGUAUAAAAUUCUUGUCAGUAUUUAUAUAUUUUUAUAAUAUAUUGGAAAUAUACAUUAUAUGAAAAAUUACUUUGUAAGUUCUUUCGUGUUUACCAAUUUAGCCAGAAUUUUAUGAAAUUUAUAACAUGGGUUUAUAUUAAGGCUAUUUGAUAUAAGGAUUAAUGGAGAUGGGUUCUUGGAAAAUAUGAUUAGUUAUGUUUUUGAAUAAUGAGCUUGUGAUUUUUAUAUCUAGAGCGUUUUGAAAUGCUCUAAAAAGAUUUAUCUUUUAAUAUUUGUAAUGUUAUUGUUUCUAAAAUAUAAUAGCUCAAGAUCACCAAUUGAGGUUCAUUUGAGCCUGUUUAUGUUUGUGUGUUUUAUUUACUAGUUUUUCUGUGUAUAAUUAGCUGUUUCUAUGUUUUU